CGGAGAAUAGACGUCGUGUUCCAUUCUAUUUGUUGUUAUUCUUGUCCAAUUCUCAUAUCGUGUGUGUUCUGAAUUACUAUCUACUUGCCUACCCAAAAAUUGAGGGUCUGAACUAAUCUUCCAAAGCAUAUUGCAAGAUAUAAAUACGUGUAUAUCAGCAGCUAAACCUCGGGGGUGGAUCCUUCCAACGAAGGCUGCUGGAGCUGUUCUGCUGGCUUCUCUUAGACCAAGGCCACGAAGACGGACUGGUAGAGUUGCCUGUUUCCAACAGGCGUUAGACAUAGACGAUUUGAACAUCUUCUCUAGGCAACGACGCACACCAUGAUCAAACCGGCUAAAGGCUAAGACAGCUGCGUAGAAGGUGCAUCUCUACUUAGGGGUCUUCGAGAUCAGAGAGAUUAUCCGUACAGGAGAGAACAUUGUCCACUCGUUUGGCAAAGGAUUGAUUAAAGAAUGAAUCAGACUCGACAACUGGAGCCCCUAAAAACUCUUCAUCUUCUGAACUCUGAUUGAUUCGUAUGACCUCUCCAGGGGACUCUGGAAAUGAAAUGUCACGCAUCUUCCAGCUUCUUCCAGAACAAGG